CACACACACACGUUAUCCAUGCCCACAACAUUCAAAAACACAGGGCAGACAUGGAGAUAAAUAAGACCAACUACAGUAGUCUCUCAACACAGCCACACCACAUCAGUCAGAUGGGCAGAGAACACAGUGUAAUAUAUAGGAGCAGAACAAUUACAUGACAGAUGACAAGAGUAGCUGAACCUGAGGCUGUCACAUGGAGGCCAUUUGUAUAGUGUUUUCUGAUCUACGCCCCCCCCCCCAACUGGUGCGGCUCAUUUACAGGUCAGUGGGUAAUGAGCUCUCCUCUAGAGAACCAGGUCUGUCUGUCCGUCUCUCCUCUAGAGAACCAGGUCUGUCUGUCUGUCUGUCUGUCUGUCUGUCUGUCCAUCUGUCCGUCUGUCCGUCUCUCCUCUAGAGAACCAGGUCUGUCUGUCUGUCUGUCCGUCUCUCCUCUAGAGAACCAGGUCUGUCUGUCUGUCUGUCCGUCUCUCCUCUAGAGAACCAGGUCUGUCUGUCUGUCUGUCCGUCUCUCCUCUAGAGAACCAGGUCUGUCUGUCUGUCUGUCCGUCUCUCCUCUAGAGAACCAGGUCUGUCUGUCUGUCUGUCUGUCUGUCCGUCUCUCCUCUAGAGAACCAGGUCUGUCUGUCUGUCUGUCUGUCCGUCUCUCCUCUAGAGAACCAGGUCUGUCUGUCCGUCUCUCCUCUAGAGAACCAGGUCUGUCUGUCCGUCUCUCCUCUAGAGAACCAGGUCUGUCUGUCUGUCCGUCUGUCCGUCUCUCCUCUAGAGAACCAGGUCUGUCUGUCUGUCUGUCCGUCUCUCCUCUAGAGAACCAGGUCCGUCUGUCUGUCCAUCUCUCCUCUAGAGAACCAGGUCUGUCUGUCCAUCUCUCCUCUAGAGAACCAGGUCUGUCUGUCCAUCUCUCCUCUAGAG
ensembl:lncRNA